rnacentral:rRNA from 1 species
UGCCCGUACCGCAAACCGACACAGGUAGUCAAGAUGAGAAUUCUAAGGUGAGCGAGCGAACUCUCGUUAAGGAACUCGGCAAAAUGACCCCGUAACUUCGGGAGAAGGGGUGCUCUUUAGGGUUAACACCCAGAAGAGCCGCAGUGAAUAGGCCCAAGCGACUGUUUAUCAAAAACACAGGUCUCUGCUAAACCGUAAGGUGAUGUAUAGGGGCUGACGCCUGCCCGGUGCUGGAAGGUUAAGAGGAGUGGUUAGCUUCUGCGAAGCUACGAAUCGAAGCCCCAGUAAACGGCGGCCGUAACUAUAACGGUCCUAAGGUAGCGAAAUUCCUUGUCGGGUAAGUUCCGACCCGCACGAAAGGCGUAACGAUUUGGGCACUGUCUCAACGAGAGACUCGGUGAAAUCAUAGUACCUGUGAAGAUGCAGGUUACCCGCGACAGGACGGAAAGACCCCGUGGAGCUUUACUGUAGCCUGAUAUUGAAAUUCGGCACAGCUUGUACAGGAUAGGUAGGAGCCUUUGAAACGUGAGCGCUAGCUUACGUGGAGGCGCUGGUGGGAUACUACCC